CGGCGUGCUUAACACAUGCAAAUCGAGUGGCGAACGGGUGAGUAACGCGUGAGGAACCUGCCUCAAAGAGGGGGACAACAGUUGGAAACGGCUGCUAAUACCGCAUAAGCCCACGGCUCGGCAUCGAGCAGAGGGAAAAGGAGCAAUCCGCUUUGAGAUGGCCUCGCGUCCGAUUAGCUAGUUGGUGAGGUAACGGCCCACCAAGGCGACGAUCGGUAGCCGGACUGAGAGGUUGAACGGCCACAUUGGGACUGAGACACGGCCCAGACUCCUACGGGAGGCAGCAGUGGGGAAUAUUGCACAAUGGGGGAAACCCUGAUGCAGCGACGCCGCGUGGAGGAAGAAGGUCUUCGGAUUGUAAACUCCUGUUGUUGAGGAAGAUAAUGACGGUACUCAACAAGGAAGUGACGGCUAACUACGUG
rnacentral:rRNA from 1 species